CACGUAGGGGGCAAGCGUUGUCCGGAAUUAUUGGGCGUAAAGAGCUCGUAGGCGGCUCGGUAAGUCAGGUGUCAAAUCCUCAGGCUCAACCUGGGGCUCCACCUGAUACUGCUGUGGCUAGAGUCCGGUAGGGGAGCGUGGAAUUCCUGGUGUAGCGGUGAAGUGCGCAGAUAUCAGGAGGAACACCGGUGGCGAAGGCGGUGGUCUGGGCCGGCACUGACGCUGAGGAGCGAAAGCGUGGGGAGCAAACAGG
rnacentral:rRNA from 1 species